AAUUUUUGUGAUUUCGAGAUUUGUGACAUAAGAAUCAACGUACAAAAUGAAUCCUACUGUAGCCGGAUUCUCCAACUCUUUACCGAGUACUAUCGAUAACGUUAAGUGGCGACGUUUGUCGCUUGCAUUAUCGAUGGUUGAGACAGACAGUGAUUCUGUAACUACGCGUCAUCGAACAAAAUCGUUGCAAGAUGUGCUGUUUGUGAAACGACAAAAGUCGACAACUUUUAUUAAAAUGUGACAACGUCGCAUAUCAUUACUAUGAAUUUUAUAGGGACUUUGGUGAUUUUAGGUAAUAUAAUGUAAAGUGUCAGUCGCAUCUGUGUAAAUUUAUAUAAGCGCGGAUAGCUUGCCCAUUGUGUCAACAAUAGUGAAACUCCUUAUUCCUUUACUUAAACUACCGUACUUAAUUCUUUGAACCUACCUUGUUACCUAUAUCUUGUUUCAAACUAUGGCAUCAAAAAGAAUUAGAAGCGGACGGGCGACGGAUGCGCAAUUAGCGGCAAUGGUGCAGUUUAUCGAAACACACAAAGGGAUUGCGGAAGGGAAAUUCCUAAUUAUGAAUGGAAAGGAAGAACUCCGUAAAAAAUGGGAUCAACUGGCAAAUACUUUAAAUAUGACCAAAGGUGCAACCAAAACCACAUCUCAAUGGCAAGUAACUUGGAGAGAUAUGAAAAGUCGAACAUCACAGAAAGCACGUAAAAUUAGAAAUCAGCGUAAUGCAACAGGCAAUAAAGAAAUUGACGAAGUUCCAUUGACACCAUUAGAGCUAAGAGUCAUUGGAAUCAUUUGCAAAAACUACGUUGAAGGUAGCUC
rnacentral:lncRNA from 1 species